ensembl:lncRNA
CCCCCCCCCCCACACACACACACACUGACACACAUCUCACUGCCCUGAACAGAUACAGUAUGCUGGCCCUUCUGUCUCUGCUCCUUGUCUUAUACUGACAGUUUACCUUUCCUGCCGAAGUACACCUCAGCAUAGGGGAACACACACUCACUCACACACAAACACUCACACUCACACAUUAACACGAAACCUCUUGUUUGUGUACAAACUUCUCAGACCGUUGUUGGAGGCUGGCCUUCCUUUCUGAGUGACAGGAAAUGACAUCAAUGCCAGCAUUGUUAAAGGGGCGUGGCUUCUCAGCUGUCUCAGCUGUGAGCAGAUUCUCUCCCCGCCCCUUAGAAGACAACCAAUAGGAUCAAUAACUGGUUAGUUGUAUUUCAUUGUGAAUAUCUCAGCGUAACUUCGGUCAGGGCUGUGUUAUUUUUAGGAUCCAGGACACUUUUUUAAGGCAGCAACCACCAAUACACUCAAGUGGGAAUAUUUCCCCCAUUCUUUUUCGUUUGUUUUCAUUUUAUUUCUUCAACCUAUCCUGGAAGGGUGUUUUUUUUUUUUUUGCGAAAGUGUUUGCUGUUUGUUUUUUCAUUUUUUUAUUGUUUUUAAAUCAAGAUGAACGACGGACAGACCUCAUUUCACUCGUCUCUCUCUGUGCUAAUGAGAACCUGAGCCUCACACACACUGGAGUGGGAGGAUGUUUCUCAACCAAACCCUGGUGCUAUGUUGGACUUUUAUUUUCAUUUAAUGGGAGAGGUGCCACAGGAUGGGCCUCUCUUGAGGUGUUCGGGGAGGCUGUUGUGUAAGAAGUCAGUGCACCCCCCAACCCCCCCAUACACACACACACACACACACACACACACACACACAGGAUCCCGGACUGUCCUAAAGCUCUGGGUCUACAUCUCUUUUUUUUUUCUUUUUUCUUUUUUUAAUGUUGUUUCCGAGAAGAACUACCUGAGGCACACAUAUACACUUACGUGAGCACACACACACACACACACACACACACACACACACACACACAUAUGCACAUAAAUGAAAAACAGUGCAACCUCAGUACCGUUGUGUGUGGGUCUGCCAUGUCAUUGCCUAGCCUUCCUCUGCCAGCCCCCAGGCCUCGCUUGAAUGAUAAUUGAGCCCUUCUUUCCCAGGAAAGUCACUGUAGAGGAGACUUCGAGAAAGAGAGAGAAAGAGAAAGAGAGAGAGAGAGAGAGAGUAAGAGAGUGGUGUUCGGAUAAUAAGGAGAGUGUGAGAAGAGACUGAAAGGAGUGAGUGAAAGCGAGACCAACUUUAAAAGAGCUGGUUAAUGGGUCCAGUGCCCAGCAACUUGUAAAGAAUCCAGCCUUUGACCACACACACACACACACACACACACACACACCUCCUCAGUGCGCAGACUAUCUGAAUAGCACUGAUUAGCAUCAGAACAGGGUAGCCAAGGCCGUCAUCCUUGACACACUCAUGUAGACACACGAGACACACACACCUCAGAAAAAAAAAAGAAAAAAAAACUCAAAUGCCUCAUUUUUAACUGUAUGCACUGCAGUGCUAAUGUAAGCCCUGCCGUCCAGGGCUCUGUGAGUUUCAGUCCAGAUCCUCCUCGCUCCGCAGCCACGGCCGCCAUGGUAACACGCACACACACACACACACACACACACACACACACACACACACACACAAACACAGACACAGAACAACCAUUGGCGGUUAGGGCUGCAGGAAUGGCCAUCAUAUUUACCUCAAACGUGGGCACACCUCCGGCUGUGGCUCAUAGACUGCCUCUGUGCUAACAGGCUCUACCUCACCUCUGAACACAGGGCAGCUACCCACAGCCUCUUCCCACACACACACACACACACAAACACACACGCAUACACACUUACACACACACAGUUACCCACAGUGUUCUAUCCACACCAUCCCUCUGUCCUCUCUCACACAGACCUAGUGAUAUACCACUGCAGACAGGAGGGCCGGCUCAACAACACCACCACCCCCACCCCCCCUCAACACACACACCCCAAACCUCACCUUCAUCGCGACCCCCCCCCACCCCCCUUCCCCAGAAGCUAGCAUCCUAUCCCCUAUCCUUCUAAUUUUUUUCCUCAUACUGGGUUUUGGAUAGGAUUCUGUUUGAGGGGCGCGGGACAAGGGUUGUCCCAUGAUUUGUUCCUUUCUGUCUUUCUUCUUUUUUUUUAUUUCCUUUCUGUCUUUUAUGUGGGACCAAGUGUCACUUUCUUUCUUUCUUUUUAAUUUUGAAAAUGAGUCCCCUCUCGGCUGAAAGAACCCUGCAGUGUGGGAGGAAGCCAUGUGACUUGUGACAGGUGCCCCACCGAUGAAGAGGACACGCUGAGGUGAACUUUGAACUUCCUUUUCUCUCUCUUUUUUUCUCUUUUUGGAGAAAAAAACACAACCUAAAAAAAAAAAAGAAACAAAACUUAAAAAAAUAUGUGAGAUGAAAAAACAAAGAAUGCCCCAACCCUGCAGCAGCCAGGCCUGAAGCUGAUGUGUUAAGCACUGUUUAGAGGAGAAAACGUUAAAAACAUCCUAAACAUCCUUUGAAGUCUUUUUUUUUUCCCCUAACACCUAGCAGUUAUUUUGUGAAUGAAAAAGAGAGACAAAGAGAAAGAGAAAAAAACUAAAGUAGCGUGGGUGUGUUGUGAUUUUCUUCAUGUUUUUGGUGGACUGGUGGAUGGAAGGAUGAAUGGAUAGAUGCGAGGAUGAGAGCAGUGGGGGCCGUGGCAAAAUGCCAGACGACGGGGAGGAGAAGAAAAAAAAAGGAGUCUGUCCGUGCCACUCCUGCACUCAUCCGCUUGAGCGUCAGAGUUUUUGCACUAAAGCAGUGGUCCCAACCAUCUACCCCACCCCACCCCACCCACGUCUCCCUCCUCUCUGCACGCCCUCAGAGGUACGGAUGGCAAGUACCCUGUGAAGAAGUUGGAAGAGAAAGCGAGAGAGAGAGAGAGAGAGAAAGAAGUGACACUAGACACACACCUGCCCACCUAAUUAAUAAUUGGCCUUCUGUCAAACAGAAGAGCAGCCCUACCUAAACACACGUACACACUGAUGAGUGUGGGGUGUGGACAACCCGAUCGCAGUAUUAAGACGAACACACAAACACACACACACACAUGCUAACUGUUUUACCUGGCUCAUUGAUCCUCUCCCUUCCCAAAAAAAAGACUAAGUCAUGUGUGCACACUGAGAGUGAACGCACGUGGACACCGAACGAGAAGUGGGCCACCACGGGCACACAGCCGUGGACCUCAGAGAGACCUCUCCAACUCAGUGCCGGUGAAAAGCAGCACCAAAAGUGUGUGUGUGUGUGUGUCUGUGUGUCUGUGUGUGUAUGUUUCUGCAGAGAACAGUUUCCACCUUUGCAUAAAUCUGGGGCUUGAUGGAGGGGCAGGGGGCGUGACUACAGAUCUCUCAAAGGCAGCAGAGGAGACGAGAACAAGCAAGAGAGAGAGAAAAAUGGAUGAACAAACGAACGAGUGAAUGAGCGAUUCCUCUUGCCCCGGAAGUCUCUCCCAACGCCCUCUAUCUCCUGCAAUCUCCCCACUCCUGGAAGGAAGGAGGACCACCUUACACCUCCUCUCUGAAAUGAUCAAAGAGAGGGUUGGCAUUCCAUGGAUGUGGGUAUGUGAUACUCACGUCCGGAAAAAUCAUGACAAAGACACAGGACAGGAUAAGAGACAAAAACACAGAUCUGGCAAUAGUCAUGUCCUCGAGUCUGGAGAGUUGAUCAGAUUUUGUGUGUGUGUGUGUGUGUGUGUGUGUGCGUGCGUGCGUGCGUGCGUGCGUGCGUGCGUGCGUGCGUGCGUGUGUGCGUGUGUGUGUGUGGUUGGAUGUGUAGGGGUUACCAUGCUGCUUUACCCUCUGAGUCAACUUAAUUUGAAAGUGAAAGAGAUAAAUGAUAUAAUCAAAAACCCAGACGGAAAAUGUUGAAAUUUGAAAGACUCCAGAACAAAAAAGAUGGGAGCUUUUUAAAAAAAAAGAAAUAAUAAUAAUCUCAAUGUUUUUUUGUUUUUUUUGUUUGUUUGUUUGUUUGUUCUUGAUGCUUAACUGCUCUGUGUAGAAGAGAGGAAACAACAGAGAUAGUCACCUUUUUGACCAUGCGUGCAGUGUAACCUAGACAAAAAGAAGAACUUCACCUCUUUCUCACAUCACCUCUAGUUUCUAUUGAAAAAGCCAACUGCUCUCUUGUCUGUGUAGCUAUCCCAUUGUCCGUCCUUUUAUCAAGAGGAAUUUACAGAUGAAACAAACAACAGGAAUAUUUUCCUUUUUUUAAAUAUUUUCUUUUUCUUUUUUAAAAAAAUCAAAGACUGAAUAAACACACACACACAUACAUAAACACACAGGAAAAUGUAAUGCAACAGAAAACUGAAAAUAUGAAAAAAAAAAAAGAACUGAAACAGAAAACCUUCUCAUACCUCACACAACACAAAACUCUAAUGAAUCUGGGUGCGGGGGCAGAACUGCUGGCACUUGUUCGAAGUGUGUGAAACACAUGCAGGUGUAGAGAUGUGCAUUGAGAUAUAUGUGCUUGGUGCGUGAACGCAUGUACAGACAUUACAGAAACACUCCCCUCCUCACCCCACCCCCCAGUCUAUAACACCACCCCCCUCUCCAAAAGCCCCCCUUCCCAAGCCCCCUUUUGGCACCAACUCCCUACCACCACCUCCCCCAUCUCCUUGAUGGCAGCAUCCACCCAUGGAGGUUAGGUGCACAUAUGGCUUCAAACUGAAGGACUCUGGCAGCAACUUCAGGAGUCACAGUGUCACAGGCCUACGUCGGACCCUGUCUAAUGGUAUUCUCUGAGAUCUUGUGAUUUGAACUGUAUGUAUGUGUGUAUGUAUUUGUGUGUGUGUGUGUGUGUUUGAGAAAGCUGGACUGGGGAGAGGAGAGGAGUGUUCUUGUAGUAGUGGAGAGUCUCAUGGUAUUGAAUGUAGCUGACAGGACUGGGCCCUAACUGAGCCCCGCAAAACCAGAACCCGAACCUCACUUCAGGUCACCAGCAGAGUGGACAGUGCUGUCAAAAAAAAAUGACGUUACACACAACAAACUGAGAAUAUUGCCCAUCUGCAAGGUGCAAUAUGUUGUUCUAUUUUUGUUGUUGUUGUUCUUUUUGUACCUUUUUAGUUUGUUCUUUUUUUGUUUUUUGUUUGUUUGUUUGUUUUUUUUGGCCAUAACCAAGGAUGUAAAUACAAAAAAAAAAAGAAAAGAAAAAAAAGAUGAAAUCAGUAUAUGUAAAUCAUGUGCAACACACACAUACUUGGAUGUUUAGGCCAGGAUACAAUACCCUGUAUCGGCGAACUUCCACCAUCUUGUACAGUUUUGAGAGAAAAAAUGCAUAUGUAGCGAUGUUAAUGCUUCAUACAUCUGUAUGUGUCCUUGUGUGCACUCGCAAAAUGUGCAUGUCGAUCCAUGUUAUGGAAAAGUGCCCCAUGAAGUUAACGAUCCAGACCUGUGCCUCCUAUUCUUCAAAAAGAUAUGAUUCUAACACACACACAUACACACGAUCACACAUUCUCACACACACACACACACACACCCCUCUGAUCCCAACAGGAACCUGUAGGCUGCAUUGAACUGCCAGUUGGAGGGGCUGUGGAUAUGAGGCUGACAGAGUGUUCAGUCCGUCUAAUGGGCCCUGGGGAGAAAGAGAGGAGGGAGACGGAUGGGGGGAUGGCGGUAGACUGGAAGAAGGCUCCAGAAGACUGAGUCUGGAGAAAUGUGUUGAGCCUCCAACACUGAUGCAAUCAGGAGCUCCACAGCAUGCAGGCAGACAAACAGCCAGACGCCCUGUCCCCCUGCUUUGCUACUGCCAAUCAUCUUUAAUCUGGGAAAACACACACACACACACACACGCACACACACGUUCACAUUCACUCGCAUGUGUGCAGACACACACAAAAAAAGACAUCCUUGCGAUUUUACUAAGGUCUAGCCCGGGUAACACACGUCUACUCACUAUCAGAGCAGGGAGGAUACUUCUAUUUCUUCAUGCCAAAUGUAGAGGAAGUUUUGUCCUUUUUGUAACUUUGAGCUGAAACAGAAAAAAAAAAACAAUGCCAGUAGUAGGCUGUCUAUGCAAUGCCCUUCCACCUCUUCCCUGUUGCAUCGUCUCUGUGCCGAGGCCCAACUUAGUGUAAACACGCAGAGCAGAGCAUCUCCGUAAGCCAGCUUCAACUGUGCUUUAGUCCCCUGCGGAGGCGAGAGUCCUGGCAGAGAUGGGCUGUGUUGCGAUGCAGUCUGUGGCUCAGGGCUCUUGGCCCCAAGCCCAGCAGCCAGAGGUAGAAGGGCACUGUUUCAAAGAGCAGAAAUUUGCAUGUGUGUUGUGGGCGUGGGUAUAUGUAGGUCUCCAGUGCAUCACAAGAUGGGGUUGUCCACCCUUUUUGCUUCUGUGGUCAUACACUCCGAUGUGUUUAAGUGAUGUCAUCUGCUGCGUUGAGAUCGCUCGGAAAAGCAAGUGUGUGCUGGGUGUGUCGGUGCGCCAGGGCGUUAAAACUAAAUCUUCAGCCGCGCUCGUGGUUUUCGGGGUGUAUUGAUGUUUAAUGAUGACGGUGAUGCAGCCGUGUGUUUAGCAAUGAGAGGAAUAGUCUACACCAUUUGGUCUUUGUGAAAGACGAGGUUUGCUCCUAGAGCUGACUUGUAAAUAUUGAGUUGAACUGAGGACAAGUGAAUGUAAUCCUUAUCUGCGAGAGUUGGGUACAGGCUGUGAUUGAAAAGGGAGGGUUUUCUUGGAGAGAUGUGCAAUGACUGCGAGAGACCUGCUAUGACAAAUGCACUGUUGAGUCAGUCAGCCAAUAAUCCACAGACUGAGACCUUGAGGUUGAGAAUGCCUUCGAUUUCAUGCACUUCCAAACCCCUUUAUUUGUAUUUGUCGUUAUGGUACUUAAAAGCCCAUUGAAACGCUCCAAGCUGUUUAGCUCUCUUUGGUUUUGGUCAAUUUUGGUCGCAUAAAUAUCUGUAAGUGACAUUUUUCUAACAAAUUAUGCCAUUGCACUCUGAGCAAGCCCCCCUGGGCUUUUGGAAUAUUCCAGAAGGUUAUUGCAAGUGUCAUGUGUUUGAAUCAUCUUUAUGAAGUGCAAUACGUCAAGUGUAGGUUCAACAGCCGUAGAUGUGAAAGCACAUUAGUGGUUUCAGCACCCCGGUCACCUGACCAAAAACCUGUGGGAGUAUAUUACCCAAGGUAAUUCCCAGACUUUGUACUUGUAUGAAACAUAGAGAUAUAUAUUUAUGAGAUUUGAAAGACCUGCACACCGGACUCUCAUACACACCCGACCACUAGAGCGCUGGUUCUGAGUUUUGGCUGAGCUGACAGCACCCCUCUCACCUGCUUUUCGACCCGAGACUGGAAAAGAAAGUUAUUGAAGGAUUAUCUCAGGUAACAAAAAAACUAAAAAAAUGACAAAUAAAUUAUGAUAUACCUUAGCUAAUACCAUUGUUAGCCCAUCUUUAUUUGCUCCCGAUUGGAAGACAGAGCGUCUUUCACCCUGUGCUCCCUCUCUCCCUCUCCUCGUUCUCUCUCUCUGUGUUCUUUAUUGGUUGAGAAGGCAUAUGGCUACAAUAAUUCUCAUGCAUAGGAGACACCCGGGAGCCUUGUGUGGACCCAGCUCCACUUCCCUAAAAAGAGUCUUUAUGAGAUACCUGUAGGAGAACCUUUUUUUUUAGUUCUGCUUCAUUAGGCUACAGCUUGAAUAGCUCUACACUGACUGGAGCUUCAAUAGUUCUACCUUAGAGUGGCUCGGAAAGAAGUCACCAAGAACAUAAACAGUUCUUGAGGAACGGGAGAUAAAGUAGUAACUUUACGCAUUACCUUGUGCCAACCAAGUAACCUUUUUGACAUGCAAAAGGGAAUAACGAUGUAGGGUUCUGUGCCUCCAAGCCAAUCAAAGAGAACACAGGGAAAGGGAACAGCUACGUGUGUUUGUGUGUGUGUGUCUGUGUGACCGUGACAAACAGUGAGCCUGGCUGUGUGAAUGAGCCCUGUGAUUUCAGGGUGUCCGUGACGUUGUCAGUGUGGCCCAACACACAUGCAGGAUUCCUCCUGCUUUGCACUCCAUCUAGACCUGUGCUCCCUGCGUUAGUGGAAAUGCUAAAUGUUCUUAUGCACACACAUACACACCUUACAAAAUUACACAGUGCUCACAAGCACACACUAAGCAUGUGUUAACCAUAUGAAUAAACAAGAUCGUGGCUGUUUUCGUAUGUAUAUGCAUUGGCAGGAGAGUCGCCCUGUAAUUUCUCAAGACAAUAUUAACGCCAAGCUCCAAAUUUUGGAAUAUGCUUGUAUGAUUGCCAUACAAGGUGUUUGUAAUUUUCCUGUCAAUAGAAAUGUUCUUUUUUUUUAGUUUUUCUAUAUUUCGCAAAAUCUUUCUCAGCGAUUUUUUUUUCUUUCGUUCAAUAUGCAUAAAAGUUGUUGAUGCUGUGUUUGUGCAUGUGUGCUGUGUGCCUUUGUAUAACGUGCUUCUAUGUGUGUGUGUGUGAUUGUUUGGCUGGAUCUGGGUUUGUCUUUACCAAUGUACAACACAAGCACCUUUUGAGGCCACGUAAAGAGACAUUCAAGUUUUUCUCUUCUUUUCUUUUUUUGAUCGAUUCCAUUACCUUUUUGAGAAUGUAGCUGAUAAUUGCCGGUAGAUUACAUACGUAGGCUGGAGAUACAAGCUUGGUUAUGUCAAAGACCCUUACAGUUCAAUGGUGUGGUCAAGCUUUAACAAAGAAAAUGAUGUUGCAAUGGCUUUUAGUAUGCAAACAGAAAUGACUCUGUUAAUAGAGUGGUGCUAAAUUGUUCUCUCUGUCUCCCUCUUUGUCAUUUGAAAUGGCAGCCUUAUCGAUUGUGUCUGGUUUUGACCCAGUGCGGUUCAGUCCUGCAGUAAUUAUUGAUGACUUCAUUUGUGUGGAACCCAAAGCUUUUUUUUGGAAAGGACCGAAGUGCACCAAAGGCCUAUAGCUCGUAGCUCGUAGCUAGUGUGAGGAAUGCCAUAGAGAAGUCACUGAUGUGCUGGUGCCAGAAAAAGGCAUUUUAGUUCAAGGCUGCAGUAAUUGUGAAUUGAAAUAGUGGUUUCCUGUGUGCACAUGUGAGGAAAUUCAUGCACUUAUAAUUAAUGCACUUAAGUGUCUAAAGAAUGAUUCUAGUGUAGACAUCUGUACCUAUUUAAUACGGCUUUAGCUGUGUAUGGCCGGGGGAACCUAUAUCAGUAGUGUUGGAUUGACAGAGUUCUAGACUACCUUCCCCUCCCCUUCCUGCACAUGGAACUGUGUUCAAGGGCAAUAUGUUAUUGCCUGUACAGACCAGCACUGCGGCUAGGAGAGUAUCUCUGCCCAAGUGCUUUAUUGGGUUACACGGACACGCUGAAUGCUAAUAGAGUAGUAGCGGUGGCUAUGACGACUAAGGUAGUCGUGUUUAUGUCAUUUUUAUGCUCCCCACACACUCUCCACCCCCCCUCUAGUAGAUAAACAUUCCCCCAUGUCUUGCUUGUGACCGUUGACAAGCGGACAGUUUGUGGUCUUUGGAGGGAUAGUUUGUUAGACUGAUUGAAUAUUUUAAUGCUUGUGACUUGCUGCGGUGUGUUCACUUGUCUGACAUUUCUACUCUCGAAAUAUUUUUGUAUAGUUGCCAGGGGGUGAGGGAAGGGAUAAGCCUUGACAGCGAGGAAUGUACGCAUAUUAAAAAAUCUAUGUAGAGAAUCCGUAGGGGGAUUACAGAGGGCGGUGAUAUUUUUGAUGACCCAAGGAGGACGGGAUUAUAAUCCACGGUAUAAUCUACAGUAUAGUAUUAUAUGAUGAAACGAAAGCUAUAUCUAUGAAUACAUAUGCAAUGUUUGUCAGGUUGAUGACGGGUGCGAUGGGUAGAGCUUGCUCAGGUUUGAUCUAGGGGCCUCAAAAGGUGCUUGCCCUCCCCUUCUCUGUGUCCCACCGUCUGUCUAAACCGCAACUGUGCAGGCGUCACUCUAGGCUCUGUAGUGACAUGGACCCUCCUAGUAUGACAGCUCCACGUCCUUGCCAGGACAGACAACAAAAUAAAACACCCAUUGGCAAGACAAUUAUUGGCAAUCCUGUAGAAAACUACAAAAGUGAUCAAAUGGUUCUUUGUCCAGAUUCCUUCGAGGGAGGGGCACCGCACUCAACCCUUGAACCUGCUGUGGUGAGGAAAUGACAGAAGGGUCCAUGUCAGGCUACUCUGUUUAAUACACCACGCAUACACACACACACACACACACACACACACACACACACAGUCACAGUCACGCACUUACCAAACUGUGUCUCCACUGCUCAGUCCUCAGACUGUUGGACCACUCUAACUUUGUGUGUCUAUCGUGUCUGUCCCUGUCUCGCCGUCGUCUCAAGUCUCAACUGUUAAGCCGUGGCAUGAGCCUGUCCUCAGCUCUCAAGCAGUUUUUCUCAAAAUGGAUGGCCUUUUCCGAAAGACAACUGGACUGAAACCAAAUCUAAUCCGUGAUCCACAGUCCAUGGAGAUGUGAUUUACGAAGAGGCUCCAGUGAUUAGUUUGUGUGUUUUUAUUUGUCUCUGGUCAUGUACCUGUCACCUGAUGGUGUAUUUUUUAUGGGGAAUGUUUUUUUUUACUGUCCUUGGUUUAUGUUGAAGGACACUGUUCAAACCGUGCAGUAAGCAACCAGUACAGUGUGAUUGUGGUUUCAGGUGGGGGGAAAAAUGACACAAACAACCAGCCAUGGAAAGAAAAAAAUACAAACAAAUACCCUACCACAACGCUGUAACUAUUACUACUUCAACUAAUACUACUACUAUUCAGAUUUUUUAAGAUGCUUACUUUUUGUAUCACUUUUCAGUCUGAGUUCCUCACUUCACUGUGAUCACUGAGGCUGCUGGGAAUUUUACAAAGAGGGGCGUGUGCUUCACCAACACUCAGGGGUCAUGACCUCUUGUAGGGUCACUGGGGGAGAGCAUGGAGCGACACAUCCUCUUGGAUGACCCUCCUGGCAUCGCCCUACUGUAGGAACACGCAUGCUGGGCCAAGGCCCCCCCCCUGUAGCGCCUCAGAGUAGACCGAGCCUUGGGGAUUGUAGUGAGCUCUUUGACUGUGACUUGUUUUGAUGGGAAACAGGGGAAAAGGGUUGAGGAAGAGGAGGAGGAAGUUUCAUGAGAGUACUGUGCAGCCAAAACAAUCAAUGUUUCAGAACACAGAAUACCACGUUCCUCACCUGUUGGGUAUUCCUCUUGGUUUGUCUUACUCGUGUCACUGCAGUGUCCGAGAGAUUAAUCCUUGCACAGUUGCCCGGAAAAACCCUUCCCAGGUUGCGGUUGAUUGGGUGACUGCUGGUCUGGCAAGACAGAUCUGCCUCAGAGGUGGCGUGCUCUCCGGGUUGGGCGUUUCUUUAGCAGUGUAGGAUGAGGCGCAGCUGUCGUCUGACGACAAAAGGCCCCGGUUCGAGAAGCGCUUCACAGAGGGAAAUCGUGACGCCUCUCUCAGGCUCAAGGCUGCACAGGGCCUCAGGCUCUCUCCCACUCACGUCCUCUCCGAGAGGACAGGACAUGUCAAAGAACAGUAUACAGGAUCCAUUUUCACAAAGCACAGGCACUCUGAUCAAGGACACCACACACACACACACACACACACACACACAUACACACAAAAGAAGGCUGUAUGCAAGCUCUGUGCAAAACGAAGUCCUCAGACACCGACUCACACACAAACAUCCAGUUGAAAAAAAUGUCACACAACACCUCCGAAUAUCUACUGUGAUCUCCUCUCGCACCACCCACACCACCCGGCCUCCAUCACACCCACCACCACCCAAAUCACCCCUUUCUCCCACCCUAGCAUCAUCCCCCUCCCCUUUCCUUUAUCAAGAGUCCAGUGGGUGGUGUGGUGUCAGGUUUUUGUGGUGGGCUGCUUCUGACAGGUCCAGACAAUCAGCGUGUUUGUAAAUGUCAAUGUGAUUUUCAAAUCUUUGUUUAUGGUCAGGAUUUUAAAGGAAGAUAUUUUUAUGGUAAUUGUCGCUGGUCUAUUUUACUAUAUAUUUAUGUAAUAAAUAUGUGACUAAAUUUACAUCUCUCUGGCUCUGGUCUUUUUUUUGUAUCUUUCUGCUCUGUAGCUUUUUAAUGUUGUGGAGAAUCAAUACAUAUGUGAGCCUUUCCUGAUUGCAUCUGGCAGCUGCUUCCCCCUCUCUCUCUCUCUCUUUCUCUCUCUUUCUCGCUCUCUCACACACACACACACACACAUACACACAGUCCUCCAAGUUAACAUAAACACGAAUGUAACAAAAACAAAUGUGGAGCUAAACAAAGCAAAGACUGUGAGUCUAUCAGAAGUCGAAGCAGGUUGCUUAUUUGCCUCCAUCCAAAGGCUUGCCAAUGGAGGCUGGCAGGUCAUGAAACGACACGAGGACCCACUGGAGCCCCGAUUCCAGCCCUUGAGAACCUUGGGCAAUAGUGCCCCACACUCCUCUCCACAGGGCUGAACGAUUUGGGAAAAU